UACGUAGGGCGCAAGCGUUGUCCGGAAUUAUUGGGCGUAAAGAGCUCGUAGGCGGCUCGUCGCGUCGGAUGUGAAAGCUCAGGGCUUAACCCUGGGUCUGCAUCCGAUACGGGCGGGCUAGAGGCAGGUAGGGGAGAACGGAAUUCCCGGUGUAGCGGUGAAAUGCGCAGAUAUCGGGAGGAACACCGGUGGCGAAGGCGGUUCUCUGGGCCUGUACUGACGCUGAGGAGCGAAAGCGUGGGGAGCGAACAGG
rnacentral:rRNA from 1 species